CAUCAAUAUUAGAUUUAACACCAGCCUUGUAUCUUACAGUUCAGUUCUUAUGUACUUGGUGUAAAAGAUGUUCAGUUCUUAUAAACUUGUAGAAGUUAUAUUGAUUAAUUGUUUUGGCAACACAGCAUAUUGUCCAGUGCACAUGGUUAAAGAUGCACUACCUUCAAAUAUUUUCUGUUCUUCUUUUUAGUGUUGGAAAGUUCACGAUUGGCAAAUUUCAAGCUGUAGUAAAUGCACAACCUCAAAAACAAUUAAGAAAGCAAUUUGUUGGAACAUGAAGAAAGCAGAAAGCAAUUUGUUGGAACAUGAAGAAAUCAAUUUGUUGGAACAUGAAGAACCCAGAAAGCAAUUUGUUGGAACAUGAAGACCUUCAAAUAUGUUUUCUGUUUGAUCAAAGGCCUUAAUGAAACAAAACUGCUUCCUGUUAUCAUCUAGGUCAUUACAUUGGAUGGCAUUUGUGCAUGUAGGACAGUUGCAGAUCGUAAUAGAUUUAUGGACCUAAACUCAAAUUUAUGGAACUAAAUUAUAUGGAUUUAUGGAACUAAAAUCAAAUUAAAUAUGGAUUGAUAAUAUGGAUAAAAAAUAUGGAUUUAUGGAACUAAAAUCAAAUCAAAGUGUUGUUUACAUUUUUGGGGUUGUACAACUUGUACAUAGUAGAAUACACUAGAUGUUAAAGUUUCAUUUACUUGGUUCCCUUUGUAAAAGCAACACUACAACUUACAUGCACCAACAUCCGGUUUGUUGCAAGUUGAAACCAAUUUUAUUGCCUGAUAUAUUUUACUCUGCCAACAAGUCUUAAUAACUAAGGGGCUAUUUACAUGAGCCCGACUAGUCCUGUUAACUGAGGCACCCAGCUUAAUACAAAUCAUUUAACAAGAAUCUGCCUAGCCGAGAUCUCACUUGAGUCAAAGAGGAUGCCCGGAUAACCGGGCUGAAAUUUCUCCAUGUAAAGUCACCAGCUCAGGUAACCUCCUGGCUAGCCAGGCCUUCAGCCUGGUUAACUGGGCCAGCCUGCAUGGCUAGCCGGGCUCAUGUAAACAGCCCCUAAGGUGAUAGCAACAAUAAUGUACUUGGUGCUAAAUGUAACAUAAACUUGAGUAACAGAGAAAAUUCUCAUAUUCAGAUUAUUUUCCCCUCAUUGUAGAGUAAACUGUUAAUAUGUAUCUUAAAAACUAGAGUGUGUAUUAGAAUCUGACAGAUUUAUAAUUAAACUGUUGUUAAGAUAAAUCAGGUCUUUUAUUGUCUGUUUUGUAAAUGAAGUUCCCUGAUUCAUCCAAGCAUUGAUCUUUAAACUAUUUUUCCAAUAUCAAUGAACAGUCAUGAUAAUGUCAUAGGAGGCCUUGUCACUUGUGAUACCAAAUUUGUAAAGUCACAGCCAAAGGAUUUCAAUAGGUUCAAGUCAAUAUAUUAUCUCUAAAAUUCAUUUUUGAAGAAGAAGUAGGUCCAGCAAUUUCUUUCAUAUCGCAAUAUUAUUUUAUAUUGAACGAUUGUAGGCCAAUAUGCCAAGUUGAAUUACACUGUUUGAAUAGUUGAUCACAGAUUCACAGAAGGUUCGAUGAACUCGAUUUAUUUCCUUCAUUGUUCAUGGUAUUCACGUCCUUAAUCCUUUUGUACACCAUGAAAUAUCACCAACCUAUCACUCAAAAC